AAGACUAUACUUUCAGGGAUUAUUUCUAUAGUUCGUUACUAGAGAAGUUUCUCCGAACGUGUAGAGCACCGAAAGCUGAAACUGGA
ensembl:snoRNA U3 Small nucleolar RNA U3